rnacentral:rRNA from 1 species
AUUGAACGCUGGCGGCAGGCCUAACACAUGCAAGUCGAGCGGAUCGCCGGACGGGUGAGUAAUGCCUAGGAAUCUGCCUGGUAGUGGGGGAUAACGUCCGGAAACGGGCGCUAAUACUGCAUACUAUCAGAUGAGCCUAGGUCGGAUUAGCUAGUUGGUGGGGUAAAGGCCUACCAAGGCGACGAUCCGUAACUGGUGUUAGUGGAUGAUCAGUCACACUGGAACUGAGACACGGUCCAGACGCCUACGGGAGGCAGCAGGUGGGAAUAUUGCACCAGGGGCGAAAGCCUGAUACAGCCAUGCCGCGUGUGUGAAGAAGGUCUUCGGAUUGUAAAGCACUUUAAGUUGGGAGGCGUUACCAACAGAAUAAGCACCGGCUAACUUCGUGCCAGCAGCCGCGGUAAUUC